rnacentral:lncRNA from 1 species
GUGCCCAAGCAAGGUUUCAUGAGUACAAAAGUACCAUAAAGAUAAUUACUUCUGCAAAGUGCAAUGAAGCUUCCCAAAUAUGUACAACAAAAUGGAGAAAGUAAAAUCAUGUGGAAGCUAUCCAUUGGCAGCACAGCCCGUAGUUGAAUCGUGCUCAGCCGCCACUGAGGCAGCAUAGCCAGACUCUAUCGUAGUCGUAGUGAUGGUGUGCCUCUGAAGCUACCGUCAAAUGUGUUGAUCUUUACUGUUUAACAUCGAUGGAGAGAAGCUACGAACGGCCAAGCCACAUUCAAAGAAGAAAAUAUAGCAACACAAGCA